AAUCUUCCACAAUGGACGGAAGUCUGAUGGAGCAACGCCGCGUGAGCGAAGAAGGUUNNNGGAUCNUCAGGCCCUGUUGUAAGNGAANAACACGUACGGGAGUCACUUCCCGUACCUUUACGGUACUCUCUCAGAAAGCCCCGCCUACCUCUGUGCCAGCAGCCGCGGUAAUACGUAGGGGGCAAGCGUUUUCCGGAAUUAUUGGGCGUAAAGCGCGCGCAGGCGGUCCUUUAAGUCUGAUGUGAAAGCCCACGGCUCAACCGUGGAGGGUCAUUGGAAACUGGAGGACUUGAGUACAGAAGAGGAAAGCAGAAUUCCACGUGUAGCGGUGAAAUGCGUAGAGAUGUGGAGGAACACCAGUGGCGAAGGCGGCUUUCUGGUCUGUAACUGACGCUGAGGCGCGAAAGCGUGGGGAGCAAACAG
rnacentral:rRNA from 1 species